rnacentral:rRNA from 1 species
AGAUUGAACGCUGGCGGCAUGCCUUACACAUGCAAGUCGAACGGUAGAGUAGCAAUACUUGAGAGUGGCGAACGGGUGAGUAAUAUAUCGGAACGUGCCCAGUCGUGGGGGAUAACGUAGAGAAAUUUACGCUAAUACCGCAUACGAUCUAAGGAUGAAAGCGGGGGACCGUAAGGCCUCGCGCGAUUGGAGCGGCUGAUAUCAGAUUAGGUUGUUGGUGAGGUAAAAGCUCACCAAGCCGACGAUCUGUAGCUGGUUUGAGAGAACGACCAGCCACACUGGGACUGAGACACGGCCCAGACUCCUACGGGAGGCAGCAGUGGGGAAUUUGGACAAUGGGCGAAAGCCUGAUCCAGCAAUGCCGCGUGCAGGAAGAAGGCCUUCGGGUUGUAAACGUGUCGUUUUGUACGGAACGAAACGGUCUGCUUUAAUACAGUGGUACUAAGUGACGUACCGUAAGAAUAAGCACGGCUAACACGUGCCAGCAGCCGCGGUAA